rnacentral:sRNA from 1 species
GUUGUACCUAGCCCGACGAGGCGAACACGGGAAGCCUUUCCCGCUGGUGCAGCUCCUCAGCAAGG